GCCUACGGGACGCAGCAGUCGAGAAUCAUUCACAAUGGGGGAAACCCUGAUGGUGCGACGCCGCGUGGGGGAAUGAAGGUCUUCGGAUUGUAAACCCCUGUCAUGUGGGAGCAAAUUAAAAAGAUAGUACCACAAGAGGAAGAGACGGCUAACUCUGUGCCAGCAGCCGCGGUAAUACAGAGGUCUCAAGCGUUGUUCGGAAUCACUGGGCGUAAAGCGUGCGUAGGCUGUUUCGUAAGUCGUGUGUGAAAGGCGCGGGUUCAACCCGCGGGCGGCACAUGAUACUGCGUGACUAGAGUAAUGGG
rnacentral:rRNA from 1 species